UAGGGUGACUGGCCAUCAUGGUUUGCCUGGGACUGAGAGAUUCCUGGGACAUGGGACAUUCAGGACCCAAACUGG
rnacentral:miRNA from 1 species